UACGGAGGGGGCUAGCGUUGUUCGGAAUUACUGGGCGUAAAGCGCACGUAGGCGGCUUUGUAAGUUAGAGGUGAAAGCCUGGAGCUCAACUCCAGAAUUGCCUUUAAGACUGCAUCGCUUGAAUCGCGGAGAGGUGAGUGGAAUUCCGAGUGUAGAGGUGAAAUUCGUAGAUAUUCGGAAGAACACCAGUGGCGAAGGCGACUUACUGGACACAUAUUGACGCUGAGGUGCGAAAGCGUGGGGAGCAAACAGG
rnacentral:rRNA from 1 species